rnacentral:lncRNA from 1 species
UCACAUCUAUUCGAUCAAAAAGGGGGACGCACAAUCAGAGAGUAGGCGAUCAAGAGAAAAAAAAGUUUAUUGGAUCGAGCUUCAAGAUUGGGAUUUAAGAUUCGGGUCGAUUAGGCAACGAGUUAUUGUUCGGAAUACAUUAAGUUAUCGCAGGAAAGAAUGGUUUGUCUGUAGCGGUAAUCAUUGAGGCUGAAGAUUUGGUGAAACUAUCAGAGCCUUGCGAUUUGGAUAAAUCUUUUGCAAUUAGCCAAUCAAUACAAGAUGACGGAGUUAAAGGUGGAUUAAUUGCUUUAUACGGGAACAUCUAGAAAGCUGUGGAAGUUAAUUCAUCAAACAAGAAUAUUACACUUAUAAUUGAUGAUAAUUCUCUUCUGGAAGUGGCUGCUAAUGGUUCUACAAAAGACAUUUUAAAUUUGAUGCAUUACUACCAUACAUUAACCACACAAUUUAGCGUUGUACAAUAAUUACUGAUCUUCAUGAGGACAUUUAUUCAAGUGGAGAUGGAUUUACAUUUCCUUUACAAAUGGAGUACCUUGCUGACAUCACCAUAAACUGAGCCUUUGAUAACCGGGUUGGCAGCAGAUGUUCACGCUUUUGUAGCGUUUAGAUUGAUUUGAGUGUGUGAGUUAGGACAGGCCAGCACUUUUACAGAAUUUUAGUGAGAUAUGAUGGAUCCAGAAGACCUACAAUCAGACCUACUUGCUUUGAGAAGGUUAUAUAGGCUUCUUGUACAAGAUGAACACUAUAUAGAAGAUGAAGCCUCAGAAAAUUUGUAGUUGUAGCAUUAAAUCUGUCUUCAUACGAUAACGCAAGACGUUUAUUAAUAAAUUCACUUGAUGCUGCUGCGAAUAAAACUUUCGAUGCUCAUGCAAAGAUUCUAGAUGCUCAAAUUAAGCAACGAAUAGCUUGUGGUCAACGCCGCAAGGGCCAUCUAGAGACGGGCUAAAUCUGCGAUCAUUUUCAAUGGGAAAAGCACCAACUAAUGCUGCUUAUGUUGACCUUUUAACUGGUGAUUGGAAUUUCAGUGAGUCAACUGAUCAAGCAGACCUUGCAGGUGAUCCUGGCACCAGAAUCAAAUGAUGCCGGGUAUGCCAGAAAACAAAAGUCAAACAGUUGACUAAAGAGAUUAGUUUUAGGGAUAGCAAAGCAUUGACUCCAUUUAAUGGUGUAUUUCUGUAAGACUGACCAAAACUAAAGACCAGGACAAAAUAGAAGUGUUAAUGGUAUUUUCACCAAACCAUGAUGACAUGGUAUUCCCUAAUGGGUACAAUACAUUCCUGGUGGUAAGAUUCAAAAACUCGAGCAGUGUGCAGCUACGCUUCUUAUGGGCUGCAGUUGUGGUUCUCUAUCUUUAAACGGCUCAUACACUCGAAAAAGGGCUCCAUUGCAUUAUAUGUUUGCUCAGGCUGAAUACAAGACUGUGAAGAAAGCAGCAAUGGUUAUUUCUUCUCAAUAACGAUUACAUUUGGGAUCGCUCUUGGGAUCGCGUUGUCGAAGACAUACAAAGAGAAUAGCCCAAGUUCAUUAAUCAUAGUUGGUUUACUCAACGCUUCAUCAGCUAGACUUCUUUAUCUACAUGGCAGUGGUCGAUUUCAAAUUAAGUCUUAUGCAACCGUCUUACCAGGAAACGACAUAGAUGUUAAUGAACAUAACGAGCCAAUUGCGAGCUUGGAGAGAAUUAGGGAAUAAGAGAUUCCUAGGGACACUAACCCAUUGGCGAUUGUGGCGGAUAAUAAUCUGAGAGUGGCAUCUUUAGAGAGAAUGCACUAAGCGUUGCAAGAUGACGCGAAGCUAGCGUCUUCAACUGUCUCAAUAGCAGCUGCUACUUCUGUUGCUAAAGUGGCUGCAGCUGCUGCUAAAAUCGCAUCAGACGUUGCUGAAACAAGCAAGAUUGAUGUGUUGGAGAUCGGGCCCACAAUCAAGUGGGACAAAGGAAAGGCUCUUGAGUUUUUGUUAGAGUCACUUGGUGUUGUUCCUAUGUCAAGACGAUGAAAGUCAGAGACAUUUAGAGCACAGUACAUUGAUGCAAAAGAACUCAAUGUCUGUUAGUACAUGGAAUGUUGCUGGGAAACUGCCACCAACUUUGGAUGUUUGUUUUUCCUUUUGUAAUAUUUGUUUUUGAAACAGAGGUUAGGAUUCCAAACAGUGGUAUGAGAAACAUAUGUUCGAAACCUUUGUUU